CGAGAGGCCCAAACGUUAUUCGGAAUUACUGGGCUUAAAGAGUUCGUAGGCGGCGCAGAAAGUAGGGUGUGAAAGCCCUCGGCUCAACCGAGGAAUUGCGCUCUAAACUACUGUGCUUGAGGAAUCUAGAGGUGAGCGGAACUGAUGGUGGAGCGGUGAAAUGCGUUGAUACCAUCAGGAACACCGGAGGCGAAGGCGGCUCACUGGGGAUUUUUCUGACGCUGAGGAACGAAAGCCAGGGGAGCGAACGGGAUUAGAUACCCCGAUAGUCCUGGCCGUAAACGAUGAGCACUAGGCCGGAGGGCUGCACAGCCUUUCGGCCGUAGCUAAAGUGUUAAGUGCUCCGCCUGGGGAGUAUGGUCGCAAGGCUG
rnacentral:rRNA from 1 species